rnacentral:rRNA from 1 species
UACGUAGGGUGCGAGCGUUAAUCGGAAUUACUGGGCGUAAAGCGUGCGCAGGCGGCGCGUUAAGACAGGUGUGAAAGCCCCGAGCUUAACUUGGGAAUUGCGCUUGUGACUGGCGUGCUGGAGUGUGGCAGAGGGAGGUGGAAUUCCACGUGUAGCAGUGAAAUGCGCAGAUAUCAGGAGGAACACCAAUGGCGAAGGCAGCACUCUGGGACGGUACUGACGCUGAGACGCGAAAGCGUGGGGAGCAAACAGG